CACCGCGGUUAAACGAGGGGCCCCAGUUGAUAGUAUCGCGGCGUAAAGGGUGGUUAGGGGUUGCAAACUAAUAAAGCCGAAUAGCCCUUCGGCCGUCAUACGCUUCUAGGCGCUAGAAACCCAAUAAACGAAAGUAGCUUCAAUAAAACUCACCUGACUCCACGAAAGCUGAGAAA
rnacentral:rRNA from 1 species